UACAGAGGUCUCAAGCGUUGUUCGGAUUCAUUGGGCGUAAAGGGUGCGUAGGUGGCGCCAUAAGUCGGGUGUGAAAUCUCGGGCUUAACUCCGAAACUGCAUUCGAUACUGUGGUGCUUGAGGACUGGAGAGGAGACUGGAAUUCAUGGUGUAGCAGUGAAAUGCGUAGAGAUCAUGAGGAAGACCAGUGGCGAAGGCGGGUCUCUGGACAGUUCCUGACACUGAGGCACGAAGGCCAGGGAGCAAACGGG
rnacentral:rRNA from 1 species